GCUUCGGCGGGUAGGGUCUCCGCGACCCUCCCGGCCUCCCGCCUCCGGGCGGGUCGGCGCCCGCCGGAGGAUAACCAAACUCUGAUUUAACGACGUUUCUUCUGAGUGGUACAAGCAAAUAAUCAAAACUUUUAACAACGGAUCUCUUGGUUCUGGCAUCGAUGAAGAACGCAGCGAAAUGCGAUAAGUAAUGUGAAUUGCAGAAUUCAGUGAAUCAUCGAAUCUUUGAACGCACAUUGCGCCCGCCAGCAUUCUGGCGGGCAUGCCUGUUCGAGCGUCAUUUCAACCCUCAAGCUCUGCUUGGUGUUGGGGCCCUACAGCCGAUGUAGGCCCUCAAAGGUAGUGGCGGACCCUCCCGGAGCCUCCUUUGCGUAGUAACUUUACGUCUCGCACUGGGAUCCGGAGGGACUCUUGCCGUAAAACCCCCCAAUUUUCCAAAGGUUGACCUCGGAUCAGGUAGGAAUACCCGCUGAACUUA
rnacentral:rRNA from 1 species